GCGCCGUUAGCUCAGUUGGUUAGAGCAGCUGACUCUUAAUCAGCGGGUCCGGGGUUCGAGUCCCUGACGGCGCACCU
rnacentral:tRNA from 1 species